ensembl:lncRNA LINC02824 long intergenic non-protein coding RNA 2824
GGAAACGGAGAUCAUCUCCAAAGAAGACCAUCAUUUUCUACUAUGGACAAUGUGGAUGCUAGUUCUCUCCCAUUCACAGGUUCAGCACAUGUUACAGAAGAGCGUUUUCCUUCAGAGAUUAUUCACAGAUGUCCCACAGCCCAUAGCAAAUACAGGGCAUAUUAAGUUCAAAUAAAUAUAUGCAAAUAUGUGUGGAAAUGGCCUGUAGCCUGCAGGAGCCUGAGGAGAAGAGAGGAGCUAGCAGCCCCAGUCAAGUCUAGCGAAGUGCAUCUUGGCCUGCAGUGAUGGCUGUUUCCCCCAGAAAGUUCUUCCACUUCUGGAUCCCACCUCGACUGAACCUUACACAAUCUACUGCUGGACUUUCCAAUGGCAUGAGUUGUACAGGAUGCAAAUCACAGGCAGAUGAUUCCCAAAGACUCUUCUCCUCCGCCCAGAUCUUGAUGUCCUACCAUCCCCUGAAGUUGAUGUAUGUGGGGUUCUGAAAGGUCUCAACACGUGGCAGUAGGCAGCAGAAUUAAUUCCCUGUGCCUCCUGCAAUUCCCUGAGCCUCCCUUUCUCAAAACGCCAGCUUUCUCACAAGGAUAGCCUGAGACAUACGGAAGUGGGAAUGAUGUUCUGUUCUCAGGUGAAGUGUUUGUGCAUAUGUGUGUGUCGGGGGAGAGGAAGAUUUCCUGACCAACAAAGGGCCCAGGCCGACUGCCACAAGUCUGAAUGCAGACCUGCAGAAGCAGCAGCAACUCAAAAGGACAGCAUUCCACAGACCUUCCCUGCACUGCCCUUCAUAGCCCACUCUGCAGCUGGACCUGCCUACUCGCCAUACACCCUGAAAGCUCCCACUUAUCCACCUAACCUCAACUUGCUCUAGUGUUCGAGGAGGGCUGAGUGGUGGUUUUCCUCGGGCCUUCCAACACUUGCCCUUCUCCCCCAAGUAUUACAAGCCCUCAUUCUAAAUAUAUCCCUGAUUUCAUAAUACUAAUAGAA